rnacentral:lncRNA from 1 species
GUAGACGGCAGCACUGUUUCUGAUGCACGACGAAAAGAAAAAGAUAGCAAGGAUGCUUUCCUUGAACGAAACAGCAAGAGACCUGCAGCCCUACAAGAAAGGGGAAAGGAGUCAAAUGGGUUUGGCCUCCAAAGUGUAACAACUCAACUGGAUCUAAAUGCCCAUGAAGAGAAUGAUGGUCCUCCAAAUUGCAAACAGUUUGAUCUAAAUGGCUUCAGUUGGAGCUGAGAUAUGGCAAGAAAGCAGCUCAUGGCACAGAGAGAGAUGAACCCAAGGGAUAAUGAGAGGUUCAUAUUUAUAAACUCUAACAUAUGCCACAUAUAUCCCAACCGCAAGCUCCAUCAUAUCAGCCAUUGCAGUCAGCAAAAAAUAAGUGAUGGAUAUUGGGAUGCAGUUGAGUCACAAAAUCUAUUUGCCAGGCAGCAACUUGAGGGUGCAUUAUAAACAAGUAUGAAAGAGAUUGUCCUAGAGAAUCAGUAUGUUAUCCAAGGUUUGUCAAUGUCAUCAUUGGAAUGUAUUAAUAAGCAUUUUGGCUGAAACUGACAUAUUGUAGGUUAUGAGAAAAUAAACAGUGAAUUCAUAUUCAAAAAACCAUUCCAAAAUUAUUGCCAUGAAAAAAAAAUUAGUGAUCUUCGCACUAUAUAGCAUGCAAGAAAAUUUGAAGAUAGCAUAACAGACCAAGUUUUCUGUAGUGCAGUCGUCAAAGAGUGUCAAUCACUAGUUUAGUAGAACCAGCGACAAUUUUCAUAGUCGUCAAAGACCAAGUUUUCAAAUCAGAUAAUAAAUUAUGUACAGCUGCACCUCAAAAACAGUCCUAACACUAGUUUGAGAAUUUAUAUUCACACUGUCAGUUUCACAACGGCUGCUGCACCACAAACAAGGUAUCUAUCCAUUAAAUAGCAGUGAAAAAUAUUUAAUCUGAAGAUAGAGAACAGUAAAAUCAGAUGAGCAUGGCAGAAUUUGCAGGCAGUCAGGAGGUAGAAAUUUAUACUAUUCUGCAUGCCAAUAUUGUAUUGAGUCUAUGAAUUAUUUUUUCACUAUAUUUUGUAAGCAAUAAUAGGACAUAAAUGCACUCAAGGGGUGCACACAAGUUUCUUUUUUGUUGAAAGGACCAAGCAUGGCACCUCUUGAUCAAAGUUUGCAAGAAAACUUCGUCGUUUGUGCACACACAAGAAACAACAUAGAGGACUGCAAUCAUGAUUCGUGACCUGACAGUAUCAACUAACAAAUCUUUGGGUAGCUCGCGAACCUGAAAGUUAAAACCUUGUUAAACAAGACCAGGUUAUCAUCCACCAGGUACUUUCCACCAGACCUUGGCUCAUGCUUCUAAAUUCAAAUGAUGUGUUAAAUUCAUUUUGCCAGCAUGGAUCCAGAGAAAAAGUUCGCCUACGUGGUUGGAGUCACCUAAUCAAUAACAUGACUCAAAAUAUUAGCUUAUAUGUAAUAAGGUUCAACAAAUCAUCGGGUAAAUCCAAC